CCAACUUUCACUCACCCAGUCACUCACUCACAGUCUUUCACUUGCUCGCUCACUCACAGUCUUCACUCACUCACCCAGUCCCUCACUCACUCACCCAGCAGCACACACUGAUGUGAGGGAGUGUUAUUGCUGACUACACCAUAAAGCAAGGCUUCCACUCACUUAUGUCCCUCCUUUAUGUGUCUACUUCUGUUCCACCGUGAUUGAUGUGUGUGAUUAUGUGAGAUGUGAUAAGCCAGUGAUUGAUGUGUGUGAUUAUGUGAGAUGUGAUAAGCCAGCAGCAGCAGCAGCAUUUCCUCAAUGACCCCUAGCGGCACCAAAUCAUAUUUCCCAAAUCCAAGUCAAUUCAUUCAGCCUUUUUUAGCUCCUGCCCUCCAGCAUCACAUAUGGACUCCGUCUACCAGUCCGGGACUGCUGAAUCAGUGAGAUCAAAAACAGUGUGGAGUGUUUCUGAAGUUGCAUCAGUUCAAGGAAUAUAAUCAAGAUUACCAGAGUGUGGCAGAUCCAUCUGUGUAUGUGUGUUUGUGUGAGUACUGUGUGUGACUUUCACCCAAGUACACAUCCAUCACCUGCCUUUGUGUUAUUGAACAGAACAGCAUGACCUUGUGAAUCAGGGGAGGUAAUCCAGUCUGGCCUGGGUUUCAAUCAGCAUGGAAUGUACAGGAGCUGUGGUGUACAGAGAGCGCACAUCUACCAACAGAGAACUGACAUUUAUCACCCAUGUAAGUGGAUGAUCCAUGGUAGAUUGGAAACACAACACUGGUACACUAUUGCAAUGUGGUGUGUAAAAGUGUAGAUGACAUUUUACAAAACAAAAAACCCUGUGUUGACAAUACAGUUGCUGAUAUUACAAAUAAUUAAUAUUGUUUCUGUUUCUGGAAUUAUGUGUGCUAGUCCAUGUAGAAAAUUGUAGAUGAUUUUUUUACAAAAAAAAUAUAUAUAUCAAGGAGUAUCAUUAUGUAAGACAGUUGACAAUACAUUUGCUGAUUUGGAGAAUAUUUAAUAUUAAGGGAUUAUGGGUGCUAGUCUAUGCAGGAAUGAUCACAUUAUUUCAAUAUAUAUAUUCUGUUUUAUCUCGUAUAAAAUGUGAAAUGUGAAUGGUGUUUGUCUUGACCUCUUUGUACUCACAGCUCAUGAUAACAAGUAAUAAAAUAGCUGGAACAAGUA